ensembl:lncRNA
UGACAUGUUUGGGAUACUUUUCAAUACUUGAGCAACACAAAGGAGCCAUAAACCUGACUUAACCAACCAGUUAAACUGCAUUCACAGGUAAUUUGUAACCUUGUGGUGGAUGCCUUGAGUCAUCAGAUUGAUUCAAAACUGCUGGAGUGCAGGAGGGAAGGCAGCCUAUGAAGUAGUACUGUAAAACCAAAGAACCACUGAAUCAUGAGCCAGCAGAACUAUUUUCCAGAGCUUUAAAUAUUUCAUCUUCUUGCCUGGAUACUGGAUUUUCACAUGAGCCACAGAUCAUUCAGGAAAUAUCCACCUGACUGACUGCGGCCCACUUCAAUCUGCUCUACUGUGGGGUCCUCCAAGACCUGCAGCGUGAAUAUUUGCUCUGGCAUGGUCCUCUCUGCAGGUUACAAGAUAGCUUCUCCAGGAUAGCUUCCCCACCAUGGACAUCUCCACAGGCUGCAAAAGAACAUCUGCCCCUGCAACACCUCUUCCACUCCUUCUUCACUGACCUUGGUGUCUGCAGGGUUGUUUCUCAUCUGUGUUUUUUAAUUCCCUCUUCACUGCAUGAAACAUUAUACUCUUUCUUACAUACAUCUUCCUCAAGGUGCUGCCUUCUUGGCUUCUGGGCCUAGUCACACCCUUAAGUGGGGCCAUUGGAGUCCUGCGGCACCCCAGAUUUGCCUUACAAGGGAGUCUUGCAGCCUCUGUCACCAGCACCUGGGCUCUUGUAGCCUGUACAACUCUAAAACGUCUAGCAUUACUUUAAAAAAAUCUUCCUCUCCUUGGUGUAUCUUGGCCCAAAUAACAUGCAUGGUAAUAUUUUCAUACUGCUUUUUGCCUCUGGUAAUUCUUUGGUUUUACUUAGUUAAGGCAAACAUAUUUAGUGUUUUGAAAUGUCCUUUUAUGACAGGGUAAGUUCCUUUCCUUGUUCUUGCAACACACUCGUUGUUAUUGUACUUAUAACUAUAAGUGAAAUAAUGGAAAUCCUUAAAUGUGCAACUUGAUAUGUUAUUGUUUAUCUUUAUUAUCUUCUGUUUAUAAUUCCUCAGUUCUCGGCCUACAAUAAAUCAUUUCUAUUGAUCUCACUGUGUUGAAUAAGAUUUCAUGAAAUUUUGAUCCUCAUGCUUUAUUAAAAUCCUAAUAUAUCAGCGCUAACCUUUCAUCUUCAUCCACUCAGCAACUUUGUCAAAAAUCUUUUGUCUUCUAGCAAAGCAAAUCCUUGUAUUUCAAGAAUGCUCAUUACCCUACCCUUCAGUUAGAUUUUUGUUUUUGAUGUUCAUUCCAUAUUUUUAGCAGAAGUUUCAUUUUAAGAAACAGCGAUUCCAAAAUAAGUGGGUAGUUUCAUGAGAUGAGGAAUGUGAGAAACAGUACUGGAAAUUCUGGAGACUAUAGCUAGUAAAGUUUGAGAACAAGACUGGUAAACACAGCCAAGAUAGAAAACAGAGAGGGAAAGAGAAGUAAUCAAGCUGAAAGACACAAGACUACAAUUACUGAACACUUCCUUGAUUAAGCUAAAGAAUAGGACAUCAGUUACUUUCGUCAAUGGAAUGGAUGAGAAUUAAAUUCAUUUGGAAAAGAUGAAUAGAAAAGUUGAAGUAGAAGGAUAGAUUAUUCAUGUUUUGCACACAGCUAAUUUCCCAUGAUAAUGCAAUGCCAUCUGUAGGCAGAUAAAAUAGUAUCCUAUAAAAUAAAAGAAAGAAUACAUUUUUACAUUACGAAUAUGCCUAAGGAACUGCUAAAGCAAGCCAGUUGACAGAAAUCCUUGAAGUUGUAUUUAAUAAUAUUUAAUAACAUAUAUCAGGACUUGUGGUUCUAUUCUAUUUUGUUCAAAUAACUCUGCAGUGAAGGUUCUUAUGUGACUUGAAAGAAAUGAGAAAUGGUGACCACUGACAGAAAAACUGAUUGAGAAGAGCAGCUACUAGUCAUUCUUUGGAACUCUCAGAGGGCUAAAUCUAGGAAAAUGUACCAUGGAUACACAAGUAGGGAUUUCAGAGACAGAUUUAAGGGCUACAACACACAGGAGGCACUUUACCUUUAAUGAACACACACAUCAUUAACAACCUGUCAUGUAACAGAUGUAGAGCACACAACAACUACUUAGAGACACUAUUCCAAGGAGAACAAGUCACCAUAUUUUUGGUCCUUUUGAUAUAUGGCUGAAAUUACAAACCUUACAUUCAUUUUAUAUGACAAAUACUGCGUAAUGAUCAUAUCUGUUCUGGGAACAGUGAUAAAGUUCUUGUAGGCGUCAUUCUAUGUCUAUCAGUGUUUUACAUGUAAAAAAU